GGGGCGGCGACACCUGUACUAUGGACUGCAAAACCAGGAAACACUGACAAGGAGGUGCACCGCCAGCAAUUCAGGGACCACUGAAAUAGCCAUCAUUGCUGCGAGCUUCGCUAGCGGCACCAACUUGGCAGCACUGCAUCUGGUGCACGCAAUGGACGAUCCCGCAGGUCCUUCGUGUAUUUCAUCCAGCCCUUGCUCCACCAAAGACGACUUCCGCGGUUUGACCGUCCCUCAGCCGACAGUUUCUCCUCCCUGCUGGUGCCCCACUGCUUUCUCGUAAUGGACCUUUGCUCGGCGAUCUGCAGUCACUUGCCUUGCCAACUUUCGCACCUGGCACACGCAAGGGACAAUCCUGCCAGUCCUUGUACGUCAUCCACUCCUUGCUUCAGAGAAGAUGACGACCCCACUAGACCGUCCCUCAGCAGACGGUGUUUCUUCUC